rnacentral:rRNA from 1 species
UGAGGAAUAUUGGUCAAUGGACGCAAGUCUGAACCAGCCAAGUAGCGUGCAGGAUGACGGCCCUAUGGGUUGUAAACUGCUUUUAUAUGGGGAUAAAGUGGGGAACGUGUUCCCUUUUGCAGGUACCAUAUGAAUAAGGACCGGCUAAUUCCGUGCCAGCAGCCGCGGUAAUACGGAAGGUUCGGGCGUUAUCUGGAUUUAUUGGGUUUAAAGGGAGCGUAGGCCGUUUGGUAAGCGUGUUGUGAAAUGUAGGAGCUCAACUUCUAGAUUGCAGCGCGAACUGUCAGACUUGAGUGCGCACAACGUAGGCGGAAUUCAUGGUGUAGCAGUGAAAUGCUUAGAUAUCAUGAAGAACUCCGAUUGCGAAGGCAGCUUACGGGAGCGCAACUGACGCUGAAGCUCGAAGGUGCGGGUAUCGAACAAG